AGUGAACGCUGGCGGUAGGCCUAACACAUGCAAGUCGAACGGCAGCACAGUAAGAGCUUGCUCUUACGGGUGGCGAGUGGCGGACGGGUGAGGAAUACAUCGGAAUCUACUUUUUCGUGGGGGAUAACGUAGGGAAACUUACGCUAAUACCGCAUACGACCUACGGGUGAAAGCAGGGGAUCUUCGGACCUUGCGCGAUUGAAUGAGCCGAUGUCGGAUUAGCUAGUUGGCGGGGUAAAGGCCCACCAAGGCGACGAUCCGUAGCUGGUCUGAGUGGAUGAUCAGCCACACUGGAACUGAGACACGGUCCAGACUCCUACGGGGGGCAGCAGUGGGGAAUAUUGGACAAUGGGCGCAAGCCUGAUCCAGCCAUACCGCGUGGGUGAAGAAGGCCUUCGGGUUGUAAAGCCCUUUUGUUGGGAAAGAAAAGCAGCAGGUUAAUACCCCGCUGUUCUGUCGGUACCCAAAGAAUAAGCACCGGCUAACUUCGUG
rnacentral:rRNA from 1 species